rnacentral:rRNA from 1 species
UGAGGAAUAUUGGUCAAUGGGCGAAAGCCUGAACCAGCCAUGCCGCGUGCAGGAAGACGGCUCUAUGAGUUGUAAACUGCUUUUGUACGAGGGUAAACACAGAUACGUGUAUCUGCUUGAAAGUAUCGUACGAAUAAGGAUCGGCUAACUCCGUGCCAGCAGCCGCGGUAAUACGGAGGAUCCAAGCGUUAUCCGGAUUUAUUGGGUUUAAAGGGUGCGUAGGCGGUUUAGUAAGUCAGCGGUGAAAUUUUGGUGCUCAACACCAAACGUGCCGUUGAUACUGCUGAGCUAGAGAGUAGUUGC